rnacentral:rRNA from 1 species
UACGAGAGGCCCAAACGUUAUUCGGAAUUACUGGGCUUAAAGAGUUCGUAGGCGGCGCAGAAAGUGGGGUGUGAAAGCCCUCGGCUCAACCGAGGAAUUGCGCUCCAAACUACUGUGCUUGAGGAAGCUAGAGGUGAGCAGAACUGAUGGUGGAGCGGUGAAAUGCGUUGAUAUCAUCAGGAAUACCGGAGGCGAAGGCGGCUCACUGGGGCUUUUCUGACGCUGAGGAACUAAAGCCAGGGUAGCGAACGGG